rnacentral:rRNA from 1 species
GACGAACGCUGGCGGCGUGCCUAAUACAUGCAAGUAGAACGCUGAAGGAGGAGCUUGCUCUUCUGGAUGAGUUGCGAACGGGUGAGUAACGCGUAGGUAACCUGCCUGGUAGCGGGGGAUAACUAUUGGAAACGAUAGCUAAUACCGCAUAAUAGUAGAUGUUGCAUGACAUUUGCUUAAAAGGUGCAAUUGCAUCACUACCAGGUGGACCUGCGUUGUAUUAGCUAGUUGGUGAGGUAACGGCUCACCAAGGCAACGAUACAUAGCCGACCUGAGAGGGUGAUCGGCCACACUGGGACUGAGACACGGCCCAGACUCCUACGGGAGGCAGCAGUAGGGAAUCUUCGGCAAUGGACGGAAGUCUGACCGAGCAACGCCGCGUGAGUGAAGAAGGUUUUCGGAUCGUAAAGCUCUGUUGUAAGAGAAGAACGAGUGUGAGAGUGGAAA